rnacentral:miRNA from 1 species
UACGUUUGGAUUGAAGGAAUGAAA